GGCGGGACGUGGGGGGACGCGUUCAGAAACGUAGGUCUGCGACGAGAGCUGCCCCCGCGGCACUAAGGCUGGUUCAGGAGGCGCCCGGCUGCGGGGGAAGCAGUAGUCGCUUCUCCUCGGCCUUCAAGAGGGAACGGAGGGGAUGACUGUGCGGAGACAGCCCGCGGCCCGGCUGCAGAUGGAGCUGGCCUGGGCGCUCCCCACCAGGUGAAGUCCACCCGGAGCAGACUGGCCUUGCGGAUGGCAGGACGUCCCUGUUGUUCAUGUGGUGUGUCCUACUAAUCCAGUCAUCUCUGAGGUGUGUUGAUGAUGAUGAAUAUCCCGGCAAACCUGGCAAGACUGUGUCCCAGAUCUAUCAGUUACGGUGAGUCAAAUUUUGUGUUCACUUAGGCUGCAGAAGCCUUUCAGUUUUUGAUUUCUCAAAAAGGGAGUCUGUCCACGAAUUGAUACUAAAUUGGUGUGUUUGUGGGAAUAAGAAGGUCCUCGGCUUCCUACACCAUGUCUUGCUCUAGAAAUGGCACUAGUCCGUUGUUCUCAGCACCUCUUGACUGAUCCACCCACUCUUGGAGUACAGCCCGAGCGCUCGCGGUGGCUGUCACACCCACUAGUGCCAUAGUUCCAGUGACUGCUCCCUGGGAGUGCAGAGACCAUCCUGGAAGUUUAAGUAGUUCUGUGGCAAAGGAGCUUGAGCUCUUGACCAUUCCAGUGUUGGAAUGAUUUAUCAUUUUCUGAGCACUGGGGCCAUCAUUCUGUGAUGCGUUCGUCAUUCAACAAAUAGCGCGGUGAUGACAUGCCGGGCUGUCCUAGGCAGUGGGGAAACAGACCAAGGCCUCAGGCCUUUCCUGACUCCUGUUUCUCUCCUACCACAUGUCUCAUCUCAUCACUAAGUCCAGUGGCUCUACCUGCAAAGUAAGCCCAGUUUGAGACUUCCAGUGCCCUCCUCAACCACACACUGCUCCAAACCACCAUCAUCUCAUAUGGCCUCACUAUUCCAGUAACUCCUGAGUUCCUUGCUUUACCUCGGGCCCCACAGUCUAAUCAUAACGCAGCAACUGAGCGAAUGCAUAGAACUGUGAGUCCCGUCUCCCGUUCCUUUGCUCCAGUGGCUUCUCAGAAUAAACACCAGAUUCUUUAAUGUUACCUGAUGAUCUUACACAAUCUGGUCUCUGUCUCCUUUCUGACAUCUAGUGCUCUCCUCUCUCACUCCACCAUGCCGGCCUUCUUGCCUGAAGCGAUACACGAUUGACUAUGAAGUAGGGAAGUCAGUCAUUGUCAUACGUAUCCACACAAAGUGAAUAAGGUUUGGACAGUGCACUUGGGUAAGCUUCCAACCCGAGCUUGGGCCUUGGAAGAGAGAUUUAUACUGGCAGAUGAGAAGAGGGAAGCAAGAGGACCUAGUAGAUGGGAUCGAGCAAAGGCCGAGGGUUGUAGCACUCUAGCGAUAGCUCCAUAUGUUAGCCAUGUUUGUUUGCAAACCAGUGUUAGGCACCUGGAACAGUACAGGCACCACAGUAGGGGGUUGAGACUUACUCACUGAAUGAACGAGAGAUAUUUGGAUGGUACUUAGUGGGCAAUGGGACAGAAGGUUUAGAUGGUGCCCAUUCAAGGAACACUUGACUGUAUAGGAUUUGAGAAACAAUAUGGCGCAUGUUUUUGGUAGAGAGGUUGAAUUUUUGGAGGGAGUAGACAGAAAUAAAGCUGGAAAGAUAGGUCGAAGUGAGAUUAAGGAAGGGCUUGGAUGUCACUCAGAGGUUUACAUUAGGUGUGCUCAGGGAGAUGUUGGGGGGCUUCCAAGCAGGGGGAAACCAGAUGAAGUGACUGUCAGUCUGGAGUCUGGAAUGAUGGCAAUAAUGGCUGGAGCCCGGGAGAGACACGUUCCAGAAACUCAGGCUUAACACACCAUGGGCCUACAGUACUUGUUAAAUAAGGAAUUGAAUUGCAGAAGGGAUAUUGGGGCUAGAAUGGGAGAUUUAAGAAAGUUUCAGGAAUGAGGAAUCAUUUAGAAUUGUCUUUGAAGGAUGAGGAGGAAAUUUGGAGGGUCUGGGGACACACCUCCCCACGUCUUCCCUUUCCAUCAGUGCUUUAAGAGGAAGAACCUGAACAGAGACAUGAUCCUCACCUGUCAUGUCCUGGCCACCAUCCUGGUGUGCUCUUCCCUCGUCUCCUCCCGGGUGGAAAGAGAACUGCCUGGAGAGGCCUGCAUCCUCGUCAGUGCGCCCUUCAAAGACCACAGUAGUCAGAUGUGCUGGGAGCCCAAAUACAAGCCCAGUGAGUCCCGGGGUAAGCUGCAGCCUCGGGUACCUGCCGCCCUGGCCACUCCUUCCUGCUCCCUGGACACCUCGGCACCGGGAAAACAGGGGAGUGGACCCUUAAAAAGGACGAACUUCUCAGACUCUUUUGUCCUUCUUCCCUGAUUCUAGCCUACUUCCUCCUGGGUAGAGUUUUCAUGGUCAGCGCCCUUCUCUCACUCUGCUUCAACUUUGUGUUGCUGACCUUCCCGCAGUUACUCCCUGAGACCCAGAAACAGUAUGUUUCCUGUGCUGGUGUCUUCAUCAUCACAGGCAAGGAGAGGCGGGAAUGAACUCAGAAGGUCUUGGCUUUGGGUUAGGGUGGGAUUUUCUCUUGAUCCGCUUUUUAAUCACUGUUUGGGAAAGUACAGAGGAAGAGGAAAGUCUAGGAGAAGCACAUCGUCUCAAAGGAGGCAGAAGGAAAGUGAGGGGCAGUAACAAGGGCACGAUUCUGGUUCAUCGAUCACGACCCUGCCGUGAAACUUUGGAGGACUGGCAGAGGCUAAUCAGGAGACCUGCAUCUCCCCUUUCUUGGGUCCACAGGUAAUUUUGUGUUCCUCUCAUUAUUAAUGCAUACAUGCAAAUUUUGGAAGUGUCUCAGGGGCCCAGUCCACCAAAAGUCACCUGUAAGUUUCCUUACUUCAUGAACGUGUCCAGCUCUGUCCUGUUUCUAAUGUCUGGUCAGUGAUCAUUGGAUUCUGAUGAGGAAGGUGAGUUAACCUCCCAGGCAGUGGGUAAAGCUCAUUUCUUUGAUCUCCCUAUUUUUUUUGUCUUAGAGUCUCAGACAUGUGGAAGUUACAUCCGCAGCUUUCUCCAAUUCUCAACUUUCUCCAAUUCCUCUGUGGUUUCUGGGCAUUGGAGGCCCUUACGAUAUUUGCCCGCGACUUCUUCCUAUUGUCCGGUGACCUGUAUUAGAAACUUUGUUCCUUCAUGAUUUCUUCCUGCAGUUCAGUUUUGCAAUAUAAAUCCUCAAAUUGGGAUUGAGAAGCAAUCUCUCUGCACCAACUUGAACAAGGGGUCAAAUGCAGAAUAUGGGAAAGAAUUGUUUCCCUUUUUUGACAACAGGAAACAGAGGACCACAUGUAGGACUGGUUACAUAAUUUGGGAGGCCCGGUGCGAAAUGAAGAUGUGGAGUCUCUUGGUUGAAAAUUCUUAGCAAUUUCAAGAUGCUGACAGCAGAGCUUUAAAGCAAGCGUGAGCUCCUCCGAGUGCAGGCCCCGUGUUGCUGCCCAAGUUGCACAUCCGGGAAGUGAGCUCGGACACUGUGUUAUGCGAUAUGUGAUAACAACAACGUGUGUGGUUGACCCACGCUGUAGUCUCUGGACCCAUUACACUCUUUAAAAUGAGAGAUUGUCCGAGAAUCAUGAGUGUAGUUAUUUUGUUAGGAGCCCUCUGUCUUUGCAGUUCCCAGCGUUUGGAAGCUGCUGGCGUUUUAAAAUCUCAGCCUCGCCACAUGGAUGCCGUCUCAUCGGAAGACACAGAGCUGAGCCUGGAACCACGCAGAAGGCGUGAGUGUGGUGCGGCAGACUCGGCGCCCUAACUGGGGAUUUCUCAGGCAUUCACCCCAAAGAUGGUGUCACUGAUUCGGGAAGGCCCUGACUUCUUCCCCUUGUUCUGUUCAUUUCUCUUUCUGGAGCCUCAGGUCACAGGUCUGUUUCGGGGCAGAGGAAGGGAAGGGGUAGCAUUGUGUGUGCAGGGCUAGCGGAGGAAGGGAAGGGGUAGCAUUGUGUGUGUGGGGCUAGUGGAGAGGCGGCCUUGCCUUUCGGCUACAGGAUUACGCAGGUGCUUGUUCGCCGUUAUCUCUGCUUCUCUGUGCUCGCUGGGGACCUGCCUCACGGGGGUGUCUCCUUGUCCUAAACAAAGCCCUUUCCCCAUCUGUGAAGUUUAGGUUUUAAUAAACACUCUCUUCCCUC